rnacentral:rRNA from 1 species
GACGAACCGUGCGAACGUUGUUCGGAAUCACUGGGCUUAAAGGGCGCGUAGGCGGGCUGUCAAGUCUGGGGCGAAAUCCCACGGCUCAACCGUGGAACUGCCUCGGAUACUGACGGCCUCGAGGGGGGUAGGGGCGUGCGGAACUGUGGGUGGAGCGGUGAAAUGCGUUGAUAUCCACAGGAACUCCGGUGGCGAAGGCGGCACGCUGGACCUCUUCUGACGCUGAGGCGCGAAAGCCAGGGGAGCAAACGGG